CCUUUCCUUGUCAUGGGGUGGUAUGGGAGGCUCAAUGAACGUAUAGUGAGAGUUUCCCUGCUAACACCAUAUCAACACAUAUGCAUCACCUGAGCGUCAUGCUCAGGCCCUGAUGCAAUUUUUGGAAAC
ensembl:snRNA